rnacentral:rRNA from 1 species
CCUACGGGAGGCAGCAGUGGGGAAUAUUGCACAAUGGGCGAAAGUCUGAUGCAGCAAUGCCGCGUGAAGGAAGAAGGGUUUCGGAUCGUAAACUUCUAUCAACAGGGACGAAAGAAAUGACGGUACCUGAGUAAGAAGCCCCGGCUAACUACGUGCCAGCAGCCGCGGUAAUACGUAGGGGGCAAGCGUUAUACGGAAUUACUGGGUGUAAAGGGUGAGUAGGCGGCAUGGUAAGCCAGAUGUGAAAGCCUUGGGCUUAACCCAAGGAUUGCAUUUGAAACUAUCAAGCUAGAGUGCAGGAGAGGAAAGCGGAAUUCCUAGUGUAGCGGUGAAAUGCGUAGAUAUUAGGAAGAACACCAGUGGCGAAGGCGGCUUUCUGGACUGAAACUGACGCUGAGGCACGAAAGCGUGGGGAGCGAACAGGAUUAGAUACCCCUGUAGUC